rnacentral:rRNA from 1 species
UACGGAGGGAGCUAGCGUUGUUCGGAAUUACUGGGCGUAAAGCGCACGUAGGCGGCGCAGCAAGUCAGGGGUGAAAUCCCGGAGCUCAACUCCGGAACUGCCUUUGAAACUGCAGUGCUAGAAUCUUGGAGAGGCGAGUGGAAUUCCGAGUGUAGAGGUGAAAUUCGUAGAUAUUCGGAAGAACACCAGUGGCGAAGGCGACUCGCUGGACAAGUAUUGACGCUGAGGUGCGAAAGCGUGGGGAGCAAACAGGG